rnacentral:ncRNA from 4 species
GGAAUCUUGAUGAUGCUGCA